rnacentral:rRNA from 1 species
UUUUAUGAGAGUUUGAUCCUGGCUCAGGACGAACGCUGGCGGCGUGCCUAAUACAUGCAAGUCGAACGCUUCUUUUUCCACCGGAGCUUGCUCCACCGGAAAAAGAGGAGUGGCGAACGGGUGAGUAACACGUGGGUAACCUGCCCAUCAGAAGGGGAUAACACUUGGAAACAGGUGCUAAUACCGUAUAACAAUCGAAACCGCAUGGUUUUGAUUUGAAAGGCGCUUUCGGGUGUCGCUGAUGGAUGGACCCGCGGUGCAUUAGCUAGUUGGUGAGGUAACGGCUCACCAAGGCCACGAUGCAUAGCCGACCUGAGAGGGUGAUCGGCCACAUUGGGACUGAGACACGGCCCAAACUCCUACGGGAGGCAGCAGUAGGGAAUCUUCGGCAAUGGACGAAAGUCUGACCGAGCAACGCCGCGUGAGUGAAGAAGGUUUUCGGAUCGUAAAACUCUGUUGUUAGAGAAGAACAAGGAUGAGAGUAACUGUUCAUCCCUUGACGGUAUCUAACCAGAAAGCCACGGCUAACUACGUGCCAGCAGCCGCGGUAAUACGUAGGUGGCAAGCGUUGUCCGGAUUUAUUGGGCGUAAAGCGAGCGCAGGCGGUUUCUUAAGUCUGAUGUGAAAGCCCCCGGCUCAACCGGGGAGGGUCAUUGGAAACUGGGAGACUUGAGUGCAGAAGAGGAGAGUGGAAUUCCAUGUGUAGCGGUGAAAUGCGUAGAUAUAUGGAGGAACACCAGUGGCGAAGGCGGCUCUCUGGUCUGUAACUGACGCUGAGGCUCGAAAGCGUGGGGAGCAAACAGGAUUAGAUACCCUGGUAGUCCACGCCGUAAACGAUGAGUGCUAAGUGUUGGAGGGUUUCCGCCCUUCAGUGCUGCAGCUAACGCAUUAAGCACUCCGCCUGGGGAGUACGACCGCAAGGUUGAAACUCAAAGGAAUUGACGGGGGCCCGCACAAGCGGUGGAGCAUGUGGUUUAAUUCGAAGCAACGCGAAGAACCUUACCAGGUCUUGACAUCCUUUGACCACUCUAGAGAUAGAGCUUCCCCUUCGGGGGCAAAGUGACAGGUGGUGCAUGGUUGUCGUCAGCUCGUGUCGUGAGAUGUUGGGUUAAGUCCCGCAACGAGCGCAACCCUUAUUGUUAGUUGCCAUCAUUCAGUUGGGCACUCUAGCAAGACUGCCGGUGACAAACCGGAGGAAGGUGGGGAUGACGUCAAAUCAUCAUGCCCCUUAUGACCUGGGCUACACACGUGCUACAAUGGGAAGUACAACGAGU